GUGGGGUUAUGGUGUGCAGAGGAGUGACUUACCCCCCCGCCCCCCAGCCGUCCUGGGCCGCCACCACGGGAGGACUCAGCCCUUGGCUAUAAACCGAGGAGCCACGCAGCCACAGCCCUCCCCACACCGGAGCCUGCCCCGCUCAGUCUCAAGAUGAAGACUGACCUGGAACUCGCCUUGGAGUGCGCCAUCAACAUCUACCACCAGUACGCCAUCAAGUACCCCAUAGAUGACUACCUGAGCAAGACCGAGUUCUCAGAGCUGCUGAAGGAGACUGCCAAGCCCUUCCUCCACAACACCAUGCCGCCUGACAUGACCAUUGAUGACUACAUAAGCAAACUCUUUGCCAGAGCAGACCACAACCAUGACGGUCGCCUGAAGUUCACAGAGUUCCUGACCACGCUGAAUCUUGUAGUCAUUGAUGCCCACAAUAGGUCCCACCAGCAUCACAGGAGCCGGGACCAGCACUCUGGUCAUGGUCAUGACCAUGCCUAAGACCAGGGCCACGGUCCCUGCAAGCCAAGCAGUUCCCAGGGUGACUGUGCCCAUGGGAUUGUGCUCUUCCAGCAACAUCAUCCCGUCUGUUUGUCCACAAGCACAAACCUGUAACCAAAGCUUUGUCAUCUGCUUCUGCCUAUAGCAUUGAAAUAAAAUUUCUUUCUUCAAGCACCAAAUGCAUCUGUAUUAUGUGUCCUGCUGUCUCCAGGGAGGGUGCAACAUGCACCGAGCCUGUGGAUGUGGGGGGCAAACACAGUGGGU
rnacentral:lncRNA from 1 species